AUAUGAUUCCUCUCCGCUUCUUCUUUUGGACUCCUGUGUCCUUCUCGGCAGCCGAUGAACUCUGCCCAUUUCCCUGGUCUUUAUCAGCUUCUUCAGCCAUUUAUUUUCCUUCACGGUGAGUCAAAAUCAGCAGAAGAAUCUUAGAGGUGUGUCAACCUACAAAACCCAUGUAGUGAAGAAACCUUAAACCCUAUAAAUCAAACAUCAAUUUAAAGCAAUAAUCGGUCAAAAACGAGAAAAAAACACGUGAAAUCAACACAGAUGCUGCAAAAUGACGAUGAUUCUCCGACAAGUGCCAAUUACCCCUUUGCCAAGAAGCGAAAUCCACCCGUCGGCAGUCACCCUUUUGCCAAAAACACAUUAACCAUCCAUUUUCUCCCAAUUUAUUUCCAUCAGAAUCCUAAUACCACCACCUUUUCAGGAAACAAACUGAAAACCGGUAAAGCAGAGGGAAAGGAGCGGGAUGUGAUUGAAAAGAAAGAGAGAGAAAAAGAAAAAAAAAAACCCAGAUCUACAGAUAGAAUCUGCAGAAGAAGCCAAAAGAGAAGAAGUUUAAUCCUACCUCUGGUUACUGUAUCGAACAGCUGUUGCCUAUCUUUCUGGGAUGUAAAAUUAAAAUAAAUUAGUACUUUCCCGUUUCUCUAAUGUCAUGGACUUAGGUGUCCAUCUUAAGCAAGUGCCCUCAACAGUUUCCAGAACCUUCUUAAUGGGGUUGUCACUUCAAUCGGAAAUGAGAGGGCCUACCAGCACCGU
rnacentral:lncRNA from 1 species